UUACAAGGUGCUGCAUGGUUGUCGUCAGCUCGUGCCGUGAGGUGUCAGGUUAAGUCCUAUAACGAGCGCAACCCCUGUGGUUAGUUGCCAGCGAGUAAUGUCGGGAACUCUAGCCAGACUGCCAGUGCAAACUGUGAGGAAGGUGGGGAUGACGUCAAAUCAUCACGGCCCUUACGUCCUGGGCCACACACGUGCUACAAUGGUAGGGACAGAGGGUUGCUACACAGCGAUG
rnacentral:rRNA from 1 species